GGAAGUAGAGGAAAGUGGCGGACGGGUGAGUAACGCGUGAGGAACCUGCCUUGAAGAGGGGGACAACAGUUGGAAACGACUGCUAAUACCGCAUGAUGCAUAAGGGUCGCAUGAUUCUUAUGCCAAAGAUUUAUCGCUUCAAGAUGGCCUCGCGUCUGAUUAGCUAGUUGGCGGGGUAACGGCCCACCAAGGCGACGAUCAGUAGCCGGACUGAGAGGUUGAACGGCCACAUUGGGACUGAGAUACGGCCCAGACUCCUACGGGAGGCAGCAGUGGGGAAUAUUGGGCAAUGGGCGCAAGCCUGACCCAGCAACGCCGCGUGAAGGAAGAAGGCUUUCGGGUUGUAAACUUCUUUUAAGAGGGAAGAGCAGAAGACGGUACCUCUAGAAUAAGCCACGGCUAACUACGUGCCAGCAGCCGCGGUAAUACGUAGGUGGCAAGCGUUGUCCGGAUUUACUGGGUGUAAAGGGCGUGCAGCCGGGUCUGCAAGUCAGAUGUGAAAUCCAUGGGCUCAACCCAUGAACUGCAUUUGAAACUGUAGAUCUUGAGUGUCGGAGGGCAAUCGGAAUUCCUAGUGUAGCGGUGAAAUGCGUAGAUAUU
rnacentral:rRNA from 1 species